UACAGAGGGGGCUAGCGUUAUUCGGAAUUAUUGGGCGUAAAGGGCGCGUAGGCGGCCAUGCGUGUCUUCCGUGAAAUCCCUCGGCUUAACUGAGGACGUGCGGAAGAAACUGCAAGGCUCGAGUCCGGGAGAGGGGGGUGGAAUUCCCAGUGUAGCGGUGAAAUGCGUAGAUAUUGGGAGGAACACCGGUGGCGAAGGCGGCCCCCUGGACCGGUACUGACGCUGAGGCGCGAAAGCUAGGGGAGCAAACAGG
rnacentral:rRNA from 1 species